rnacentral:rRNA from 1 species
AACGAACGCUGGCGGCAUGCCUAACACAUGCAAGUCGAACGAACCCUUCGGGGUUAGUGGCGCACGGGUGCGUAACGCGUGGGAAUCUGCCCUUUGCUUCGGAAUAACAGUUAGAAAUGACUGCUAAUACCGGAUGAUGUCUUCGGACCAACGAUUGAUCGGCAAGGGAUGCGCCCGCGUAGGAUUAGGUAGGUGGGGGGGUAAAGGCCUACCAAGCCGACGAUCCUUAGCUGGUCUGAGAGGAUGAUCAGCCACACGGGGACUGAGACACGGCACAGACUCCUGCGGGCGGCAGCAGUGGGGAAUAUUGGACAACGGGCGCGAAGCUGAUCCCGCAAUGCCGCGUGUAUGAUGAAGGCUUUCGGGUCGUAAAGCGCUUUUGCCAGGGAGGAAAAUGACGGGGCCGGGAGAAUAAGCUCCGGCGAACCCCGUGCCAGCAGCCGCCGCCGUAA